GACGAACGCUGGCGGCGUGCUUAACACAUGCAAGUCGAACGGAAAGGCCCUGCUUUUGUGGGGUGCUCGAGUGGCGAACGGGUGAGUAACACGUGAGUAACCUGCCCUUGACUUUGGGAUAACUUCAGGCAACUGGGGCUAAUACCGGAUAGGAGCUCCUGCUGCAUGGUGGGGGUUGGAAAGUUUCGGCGGUUGGGGAUGGACUCGCGGCUUAUCCGCUUGUUGGUGGGGUAGUGGCUUACCAAGGCUUUGACGGGUAGCCGGCCUGAGAGGGUGACCGGCCACAUGGGGACUGAGAUACGGCCCAGACUCCUACGGGCGGCAGCAGUGGGGAAUAUUGCACAAUGGGCGGAAGCCUGAUGCAGCAACGCCGCGUGCGGGAUGACGGCCUUCGGGUUGUAAACCGCUUUCGCCUGUGACGAAGCGUGAGUGACGGUAAUGGGUAAAGAAGCACCGGCUAACUACGUG
rnacentral:rRNA from 1 species